AGAUAAUGAAGAUGAAGAAUCAGAAGAUGAUGAUAAUGAAGAAUCAAAAGAUGAUGAAGAUGAAGAUGAAGAAGAUAAUGAAGAGAAACUGGACAUCAUGGAUGAAGAAAAAGAUGAUGAAGAAUUAGAAGACUAGAAAAUGUAAAGAAUACUUGGAAAGAAACAACAACAAGAUGCAUGGGAGAGUAAUUCCAGUAAAAAAAAAAAGUCUAGCUAGCUAGCCAUUAAUGAAUGGGGGGAAGAUCAGAGCUUAAUUUACAACACAUUAUUAAUUGUCGAUCUCUUUCCAAAGGAUUGGCAAGAAGAGAAACCAGUAUAUAUUUAAAAGCAUUCUGAAGUAACACUAUUCCUUCUCAAAUUAUAUAUCUUGUUACUAUUAUAUAUAUAUUUAAUUGAUCAAGUAACACAAUUUCUGUUUUAUCAUCGUUUGUGAUCACUCAACAGGUGCAAACUCAGAUUAUCAAGACCGAUCUAAACAACAACAACAAGAUGCAUGGGAAGGGUAAUUCCAGUAGAAGAAAGUCUAGCUAGCUAGCCAUUAAUGAAUGGGGGGGG